GCUGCGCGAGAGGCCGAGAGGGGGCAGCAGGCGAUGGCGGCGGCGGCAGCUGCGGCUGGUCGGUUAGGCUGGUUGUUCGCUGCGCUCUGCCUGGGCAACGCCGCGGGGGAGGCCGCGCCGGGCCCGCGAGUGCUGGGCUUCUGCCUGGAGGAGGAUGGAGGGGCGGGCGCGGGGUGGGUACGCGGAGGGGCGGCACGGGACACGCCGGACGCCACCUUCCUCCUGCGCCUCUUCGGCCCGGGCUUCGCCAACAGCUCUUGGUCCUGGGUGGCCCCCGAGGGGGCGGGCUGCCGGGAGGAGGUGGCGGCCCCCGCGGGCGAGUGGCGCGCGCUGCUGCGCUUGCGCCUGCGGGCCGAAGCCGUGCGCCCGCACUCGGCGCUGCUGGCGGUGCGCGUGGAGCCGGGUGGCGGGGCGGCCGAGGAGGCGGCGCCGCCCUGGGCUCUGGGCUUGGGGGCGGCCGGGCUGCUGGCGCUGGCAGCGCUGGCGCGGGGCCUGCAGCUGAGCGCGCUGGCGCUGGCGCCUGCCGAGGUGCAGGUGCUGCGCGAGAGCGGCUCGGAGGCGGAGCGUGCGGCGGCGCGGCGUUUGGAGCCCGCGCGGCGCUGGGCCGGCUGCGCCUUGGGCGCGCUGCUGCUGCUGGCCAGCCUGGCGCAGGCGGCGCUGGCGGUGCUGCUGUACCGCGCGGCCGGCCAGCGUGCGGUGCCCGCCGUGUUGGGCAGCGCGGGGCUCGUGUUCCUGGUGGGAGAGGUGGUGCCGGCCGCCGUGAGCGGGCGCUGGACGCUGGCGCUGGCGCCGCGCGCGCUGGGUCUCAGCCGCCUGGCCGUUCUGCUCACUCUGCCGGUGGCGCUGCCCGUGGGGCAGCUGCUGGAGCUGGCGGCGCGGCCCGGGCGGCUGCGGGAGCGGGUGCUGGAGCUGGCGCGCGGCGGCGGCGACCCCUACAGCGAUCUCAGCAAGGGCGUGCUGCGCUGCCGGACCGUGGAGGACGUGCUCACGCCCCUCGAAGACUGCUUCAUGCUGGACGCCAGCACCGUGCUGGACUUCGGCGUCCUGGCCAGCAUCAUGCAGAGCGGCCACACGCGCAUCCCCGUGUACGAGGAGGAGCGCUCCAACAUCGUGGACAUGCUGUACCUCAAGGACUUGGCCUUCGUGGAUCCCGAAGACUGCACGCCGCUCAGCACCAUCACUCGUUUCUACAACCAUCCGCUCCACUUCGUCUUCAACGACACCAAGCUGGAUGCUGUCCUGGAGGAGUUCAAGCGAGGGAAGUCCCACCUGGCCAUCGUGCAGAAGGUGAACAACGAGGGUGAAGGCGACCCCUUCUACGAGGUCCUGGGCCUGGUCACCCUGGAGGACGUGAUCGAGGAGAUCAUCAGGUCCGAGAUCCUGGACGAGUCUGAAGACUACCGAGACACCGUGGUGAAGAGGAAGCCUGCUUCUCUGAUGGCCCCUCUGAUGCGGAAGGAGGAGUUCUCCUUGUUCAAGGUGUCUGAUGAUGAAUAUAAAGUAAAAAUCUCGCCUCAGCUGCUCUUGGCCACCCAGCGCUUCCUGUCCCGAGAAGUGGAUGUAUUCAGCCCGCUGCGCAUCUCUGAGAAGGUCCUGCUGCACCUGCUGAAGCAUCCCAGCGUCAACCAGGAAGUGAGGUUUGACGAGAGCAACCGCCUGGCCACACACCACUACCUGUACCAGCGCAGCCAGCCCGUGGAUUACUUCAUUCUCAUCCUGCAGGGCAGGGUUGAAGUGGAGAUCGGGAAGGAGGGUCUGAAGUUCGAGAAUGGGGCCUUCACGUACUAUGGAGUGUCGGCCCUGACUGUGCCAUCCUCGGUUCACCAGUCCCCGGUGUCCUCGCUCCAGCCCAUCCGCCAUGACCUGCAGCCCGACCCAGGUGACGGCACGCGUUCAUCUGCGUAUUGUCCCGACUACACCGUGAGGGCGCUCUCUGACCUGCAGCUCAUCAAGGUUACGCGGCUGCAGUACCUCAACGCACUCCUGGCUACCCGAGCCCAGAACCUGCCACAGUCCCCUGAGAACACUGACCUGCAGGUUAUUCCAGGCAGCCAGACCAGGCUCCUUGGUGAGAAGACCACCACAGCGGCAGGUGACAUGCAGGUGCGAGAGACAGAAAUCCCACCCUGGGCCACGUGGAUGCUUCAGCCCCUGUGGGCUCCAGAUCUGGGUGUUGGCAAAAAGGCAGCAGCCUUCCCAGUAGACCUUUCCCUCUUUGGCACAGUUGGAAACUGCAGUUGAUAAAUGACUGUGGACUAGUGCGCGUUUUUUGUUUUCAGAGCACACCCAAGGGUCCAGCCACAGCAGGCCCGGCGUCCCGGUGGAAGGCAGCCCUGGGCGGAACCCAGGCGUUUAACUGCUCACUAGGCAGCCCCAGAUCUGGGGAACAGAUGAGCACGUGGGGAGCUGGAGUGAGCUGAGCAGAAGCUUCGUGCCCGCCUGCCCCCAUCCCCUCCAGGCCACGUUUUAGAUGGCCCUUGUAGAUGCGGGUCCUGGGUGUCCUCAGAACUAGACAUCGAUGCCUGGAUCCUUCAGCCGGCCCUGCCCUCCUUUAGGAGACAGGAGUCACUAGGGCACAGCCCUCCAGGCCCGCGUUAGGAAGGAACAAAAGGAAUGCCAUCAUCUCUAGUCCCCAGGGCCCAGCCUUCCCCUUCUCCCCCGAGGCAGGGACAGUGCGGCAUACUCAGAUUCAGACCUCUUUGGGCCAAGCCACCUUGUGAGUGCAGUUACUGCCUUUGUGUGGCCGUGACCUGUAUUCGUUUGCUUUUAAUUUGCCAACCUAUCGCUGCUGGCAGCACUUUUUGAGCAAGCUGAGAGCACCCAUUUUGGCUGGGGGUUCAAAUCGAUGGCCUUGUCCAUGGUUUCCUUUCUGGCUUCCCUGACGGUGUCAUGUUUCAGAGCAUGCGCCCCAGCCUUUCCCAUGUGCCAAACCAGAAGCUCCACUGCCUGUAGGCUGUCCCUGUAGCCCUGCUCCCUCCCUGGAGGCUGCUCUUCUGAUUCUGAGAGCUGGCCUAGUGGUGCCGAGGGCCCCUUUCUGCUUCUCUGCCCACCUGCUGAGUUGCCACUCGCAGCGUUGUCAGUUCCUGUGUUCUGAGAAGAGGUCAUGCCUGGGAGGAAGGGAUCGUCAUGCUGCAUCGAAUCCUCUCUCCGCUGUGUGGCCCCCGGGAGAGUAGCUGCCUGUUGCACCUGCUCCACACCUCCCCACAGCCGCCCUGCAGGUGCUGUGUGGCCGUGAUGUGCAGAGAACAGUGAGGGAGGGUUUAUGAACCAGGUGGAUCCUCUUUAAAAAAAAAAAUCCGUUUUUGUUAUAUCUCUAGAACAUUUCAAGUCUUUUCCUUUUUUUCUGUUCCUAGCUAUGGGGUUUUAGAAAAGUGGGAACAUGAAGGCAUUUGUCUUUUUCUUCUAAUUUACUACAUUUUCCUUCCGUAGUUCUUCAGCUGUGUGGAAACUGGGGCAUCACAAGGACAUAGGAUCAUAGAUUGGGUAGGGAGGGAGGAGGAUUUCUGGAACUUUUCUCAAAGGAAUUUGGACCUUUAUAAAUGGGACUGAAGGUCAAAACAACAGUGGUAUCCUUGCUUAGAAAUUGUCCUCAAGGAAUAAACUCAGAGCAAGCCCAGGUUGGAAACAGAUGCUUUAAAAUCCUCUCUCCAGAGCAGUGGUUUUUUUGUUUAUUUGAGACGGAGUCUCACUCUGUCACCCAGGCUGGAGUGCAGUGGUGCGAUCUUGGCUCACUGCAACCUCCACCUCCCAGGUUCAAGCCAUUCUCCUGUCUCAGCCCCCUGAGUAGCUGGGAUUACAGGUGCCCACCACCACACCCGGCUAAUUUUUGUAUUUUUAGUAGAUAACGAGGUUUCACCAUGUUGGCCAGGCUGAUCUUGAACUCCUGACCUCAGGUGAUCUGCCUGCCUUGGCCUCCCAAAGUGCUGGGAUUACAGGUGUGAGCUAAGAUCAGGGAUUCUUAACCUUGGCUGCACACCAGAAUCACCUGGCAAAUUAAAAAUAUGUGGACCCGCCACAAAUUAAAUCACAGAGCUUGUGAUUUAAUCAGAGUCGGCAUCAGAGUUUUCAAUUUUUUAUUUUAUUUAUUUAUUAUUAUUAUUUUUUGAGACAAGAUCUUGCUUUGUCGCCCAGACUGGAGUGGAGUGGUGUGAUCACAGCUUGCUGCAGUCUCAACCUCCCUGGUUCAGGCCAUCCUGCCUCCUGAGUAGUAGGGACUACAGGUAGGCACCACCACACCCAGCUAAUUCUUUUAAUUUUUUUUGUAGAGAGAGGGUCUCAUUAUGUUGCCUGGGCUAGUCUCGAACUCCUAGGCUCAAGCGAUCCUCCUGCCUCGGCCUCCCAAAGUGUUGAGAUUACAGGCGUGAGCCACCGUGCCCAGAUUCAGAGAAGAGUUUCAUACACCUUUCACCCAGGUUCCCCUAAUGUUAACAUCUUACAUAUAACCUUGGCACAUUUAUCAAAACUAAAGGUGCAAUCAUACUAUUAGCUAGAGUUUAUUUGGAUUUUACCAUUUUUCCCAAUGUCCCUUUUCUGCUGCAGCAGCCAAUCCAGGAUGCCAUACUGCACUUAGAGCUGUUGCUUUCUUUUUUCCUAACUUUAUAUUUUGAAAUAAUUUCAGAUGAUAUGAAGUUGUAAAGGGCCCCACACACCCUUCAUCUAGUUUCCCUCCAUGGUUACAUCUUAUAUGAUUGUAAUGCAGUAUUCCAACAAAGACUUUGACACUGGUGCAAUGUGGGUGGACAAUCCAAAUCAUUUGUCACAUGUACAUCUGUAACUACCACUGCAAUCACGAUAAAGAAGUCCCAUCCCCGCAAGGAUCUCCCUCCCCACCAUCCCUAACUCCUGGUAACCACUAAUCGUUCAUCUCUUACUUUGUCAUUUCAAGAAUGUUGUAUAAAUGGGAGCAUAGUGUGUAAGCAUUCGGGAUUGUCUUUUUUCACUCAGCAUCAUUCUCGGCAGAUCAGGCGUUGCAUGUGUCAACAGUUUGCUCCUUUUUAUUGCUGAGUGGUAUUCCGUGGUGUAUGCAUUGGCCCCCUGAAGGACACCUGGGAUGUUUCCAGUUUGGGGCUAUUCCAAAUAAAGCUGCUACGACUAUUCACGUA